rnacentral:rRNA from 1 species
UACGUAGGGGGCGAGCGUUGUCCGGAUUUAUUGGGCGUAAAGAGCUCGUAGGCGGUUCGAUAAGUCGGACGUGAAAUCUCCACGCUUAACGUGGAGGGGCCGUUCGAUACUGUCGUGACUCGAGUCCGGUAGGGGAGUGUGGAAUUCCCGGUGUAGCGGUGAAAUGCGCAGAGAUCGGGAGGAACACCCGUAGCGAAGGCGGCACUCUGGGCCGGUACUGACGCUGAGGAGCGAAAGCGUGGGGAGCAAACAGG